rnacentral:rRNA from 1 species
AGUGAACGCUGGCGGCAGGCCUAACACAUGCAAGUCGAGCGGCAGCGGGUUCCCGCGAGAGGAUGCCGGCGAGCGGCGGACGGGUGAGGAACACAUCGGAAUCUGCCUGGUUGUGGGGGAUAACGUAGGGAAACUUACGCUAAUACCGCAUGCGACCCUGAGUCGACGGACUGGGGGUGAAAGUGAGGGACCUUCGGCCUCACGCGACCAGAUGAGCCGAUGUCGGAUAGCUAGUUGGCGGGGUAACGGCCCGCCAAGGCGACGAUCCGUAGCUGGUCUGAGAGGAUGAUCAGCCACACUGGGACUGAGACACGGCCCAGACUCCUACGGGAGGCAGCAGUGGGGAAUCUUGGACAAUGGGCGCAAGCCUGAUCCAGCCAUGCCG